rnacentral:rRNA from 1 species
GACGAACGCUGGCGGCGCGCCUAACACAUGCAAGUCGAACGAGCGAGAGAGAGCUUGCUUUCUCAAGCGAGUGGCGAACGGGUGAGUAACGCGUGAGGAACCUGCCUCAAAGAGGGGGACAACAGUUGGAAACGACUGCUAAUACCGCAUAAGCCCACGACCCGGCAUCGGGUAGAGGGAAAAGGAGCAAUCCGCUUUGAGAUGGCCUCGCGUCCGAUUAGCUAGUUGGUGAGGUAAUGGCCCACCAAGGCGACGAUCGGUAGCCGGACUGAGAGGUUGAACGGCCACAUUGGGACUGAGACACGGCCCAGACUCCUACGGGAGGCAGCAGUGGGGAAUAUUGCACAAUGGGGGAAACCCUGAUGCAGCGACGCCGCGUGGAGGAAGAAGGUCUUCGGAUUGUAAACUCCUGUUGUUGAGGAAGAUAAUGACGGUACUCAACAAGGAAGUGACGGCUAACUACGUG